rnacentral:rRNA from 1 species
AAAUUGAAGAGUUUGAUCAUGGCUCAGAUUGAACGCUGGCGGCAGGCCUAACACAUGCAAGUCGAACGGUAACAGGAAGCAGCUUGCUGCUUCGCUGACGAGUGGCGGACGGGUGAGUAAUGUCUGGGAAACUGCCUGAUGGAGGGGGAUAACUACUGGAAACGGUAGCUAAUACCGCAUAACGUCGCAAGACCAAAGAGGGGGACCUUCGGGCCUCUUGCCAUCGGAUGUGCCCAGAUGGGAUUAGCUAGUAGGUGGGGUAACGGCUCACCUAGGCGACGAUCCCUAGCUGGUCUGAGAGGAUGACCAGCCACACUGGAACUGAGACACGGUCCAGACUCCUACGGGAGGCAGCAGUGGGGAAUAUUGCACAAUGGGCGCAAGCCUGAUGCAGCCAUGCCGCGUGUAUGAAGAAGGCCUUCGGGUUGUAAAGUACUUUCAGCGGGGAGGAAGGCGUUGUGGUUAAUAACCACAGCGAUUGACGUUACCCGCAGAAGAAGCACCGGCUAACUCCGUGCCAGCAGCCGCGGUAAUACGGAGGGUGCAAGCGUUAAUCGGAAUUACUGGGCGUAAAGCGCACGCAGGCGGUCUGUCAAGUCGGAUGUGAAAUCCCCGGGCUCAACCUGGGAACUGCAUUCGAAACUGGCAGGCUAGAGUCUUGUAGAGGGGGGUAGAAUUCCAGGUGUAGCGGUGAAAUGCGUAGAGAUCUGGAGGAAUACCGGUGGCGAAGGCGGCCCCCUGGACAAAGACUGACGCUCAGGUGCGAAAGCGUGGGGAGCAAACAGGAUUAGAUACCCUGGUAGUCCACGCCGUAAACGAUGUCGACUUGGAGGUUGUGCCCUUGAGGCGUGGCUUCCGGAGCUAACGCGUUAAGUCGACCGCCUGGGGAGUACGGCCGCAAGGUUAAAACUCAAAUGAAUUGACGGGGGCCCGCACAAGCGGUGGAGCAUGUGGUUUAAUUCGAUGCAACGCGAAGAACCUUACCUACUCUUGACAUCCAGAGAACUUUCCAGAGAUGGAUUGGUGCCUUCGGGAACUCUGAGACAGGUGCUGCAUGGCUGUCGUCAGCUCGUGUUGUGAAAUGUUGGGUUAAGUCCCGCAACGAGCGCAACCCUUAUCCUUUGUUGCCAGCGGUUAGGCCGGGAACUCAAAGGAGACUGCCAGUGAUAAACUGGAGGAAGGUGGGGAUGACGUCAAGUCAUCAUGGCCCUUACGAGUAGGGCUACACACGUGCUACAAUGGCGCAUACAAAGAGAAGCGACCUCGCGAGAGCAAGCGGACCUCAUAAAGUGCGUCGUAGUCCGGAUUGGAGUCUGCAACUCGACUCCAUGAAGUCGGAAUCGCUAGUAAUCGUGGAUCAGAAUGCCACGGUGAAUACGUUCCCGGGCCUUGUACACACCGCCCGUCACACCAUGGGAGUGGGUUGCAAAAGAAGUAGGUAGCUUAACCUUCGGGAGGGCGCUUACCACUUUGUGAUUCAUGACUGGGGUGAAGUCGUAACAAGGUAACCGUAGGGGAACCUGCGGUUGGAUCACCUCCUUA